AGCGCCGCAAGGUGGAGGAUUAGCCUAUUGAGCCACGGCGCCGGCUCUAGCUGUGAGAAUUAAUGUGAAUUGCAGGACACAUUGAUCAUCGACACUUUGAAUGCACUUGAGGCCCCAGGUUCCUCCCAGGGCUACGCCUGUCUGAGCGUCG
rnacentral:rRNA from 1 species